UACGGAGGGUGCAAGCGUUAUCCGGAUUCACUGGGUUUAAAGGGUGCGUAGGCGGGUUGGUAAGUCCGUGGUGAAAUCUCCAAGCUUAACUUGGAAACUGCCGUGGAUACUCUCAAUCUUGAAUAUAGUGGAGGUGAGCGGAAUAUGUCAUGUAGCGGUGAAAUGCUUAGAUAUGACAUAGAACACCCAUUGCGAAGGCAGCUCGCUACACUAUUAUUGACGCUGAGGCACGAAAGCGUGGGUAGCAAACAGG
rnacentral:rRNA from 1 species